GGGAGCGGAUGAGGCCCGGUGGUUUCCGCGGACUUCAAAUCCGUUGGCAGCAGUCCUUCGACUGGUGUGGUGGGUUCGACUCCCUCGCGCUCCCGCCA
rnacentral:tRNA from 1 species